CUUAGCUUCUCUUCUAGCGCUCAUGAAUUUGUUGCGUUCCACUUGAAGUUAAUACGGUUUUGCGACAUGAGGAGGAUGACAAUUUCACGUGAUGGCACCCACUGGCAUAUGGGACACCCUAUGAUAUGAGCCAUUCUGAUAUUCAGGUGAAAUUUGUUUUUUUUUCUCUCCUCUUUUUCUCCCCAAUUUGGAAUUCCUAAUGCACUCUAAGUCCUUGUGGUGGCAGAGGACGAAUCUCAGUUGCCUCUGCGUCUCAGACCAUCAACCAGUGCAUCUUAUUAAGUG